AAGACCUUGCGCUUUUGGAGCGGCCGAUGUCUGAUUAGCUUGUUGGUGAGGUAAAGGCUUACCAAGGCUUCGAUCAGUAGCUGGUCUGAGAGGACGGCCAGCCACACUGGGACUGAGACACGGCCCAGACUCCUACGGGAGGCAGCAGUGGGGAAUUUUGGACAAUGGGGGCAACCCUGAUCCAGCCAUGCCGCGUGAGUGAAGAAGGCCUUCGGGUUGUAAAGCUCUUUCAGCCGGAACGAAACGGUUACGGAUAACACCCGUGACUACUGACGGUACCGGAAGAAGAAGCACCGGCUAACUACGUGCCAGCAGCCGCGGUAAUACGUAGGGUGCAAGCGUUAAUCGGAAUUACUGGGCGUAAAGCGUGCGCAGGUGGUUUUGUAAGUCAGAUGUGAAAUCCCCGGGCUUAACCUGGGAACU
rnacentral:rRNA from 1 species